GUACUCGCUUCAGCAGCACAUAUACUAAAAAGUUGGAAUGAUACAAAGAUUAGCAUGGCCCCUGAGCAAGGAUGAUACACAAAUUCGUGAAGCGUUCCAUAUUUUU